AGAUGGAAGCUUGCUUCCAGGCGUCGAGCGGCGGACGGGUGAGUAAUGCAUAGGAAUCUACCCGGUAGUGGGGGAUAACCUGGGGAAACUCAGGCUAAUACCGCAUACGUCCUACGGGAGAAAGCAGGGGAUCUUCGGACCUUGCGCUAUCGGAUGAGCCUAUGCCGGAUUAGUUAGUUGGUGAGGUAACGGCUCACCAAGACCGCGAUCCGUAGCUGGUCUGAGAGGAUGAUCAGCCACACCGGGACUGAGACACGGCCCGGACUCCUACGGGAGGCAGCAGUGGGGAAUAUUGGACAAUGGGCGAAAGCCUGAUCCAGCCAUGCCGCGUGUGUGAAGAAGGCUUUCGGGUUGUAAAGCACUUUCAGUGGGGAAGAAAUCCUCGGGGCCAAUACCCCCGAGGGAGGACAUCACCCACAGAAGAAGCACCGGCUAACUCCGUGCCAGCAGCCGCGGUAAUACGGAGGGUGCAAGCGUUAAUCGGAAUUACUGGGCGUAAAGCGCGCGUAGGCGGCGUGAUCAGCCGGUUGUGAAAGCCCCGGGCUCAACCUGGGAACAGCAUCCGGGAACUGUCACGCUAGAGUGCAGGAGAGGAAGGUAGAAUUCCCGGUGUAGCGGUGAAAUGCGUAGAGAUCGGGAGGAAUACCAGUGGCGAAGGCGGCCUUCUGGACUGACACUGACGCUGACGUGCGAAAGCGUGGGUAGCAAACAGGAUUAGAUACCCUGGUAGUCCACGCCGUAAACGAUGUCGACUAGCCGUUGGGGUCCUUGUGACCCUUGUGGAGAAGUUAACGCGAUAAGUCGACCGCCUGGGGAGUACGGCCGCAAGGUUAAAACUCAAAUGAAUUGACGGGGGCCCGCACAAGCGGUGGAGCAUGUGGUUUAAUUCGAUGCAACGCGAAGAACCUUACCUACUCUUGACAUCGUGCGAACUUGUGAGAGAUCACUUGGUGCCUUCGGGAACGCACAGACAGGUGCUGCAUGGCCGUCGUCAGCUCGUGUUGUGAAAUGUUGGGUUAAGUCCCGUAACGAGCGCAACCCCUAUCCCUAUUUGCCAGCGAUUCGGUCGGGAACUCUAGGGAGACUGCCGGUGACAAACCGGAGGAAGGUGGGGAUGACGUCAGGUCAUCAUGGCCCAUACGAGUAGGGCUACACACGUGCUACAAUGGCCGGUACAAAGGGUUGCGAAGCCGCGAGGUGUAGCUAAUCCCGAAAAGCCGGUCUCAGUCCGGAUCGGAGUCUGCAACUCGACUCCGUGAAGUCGGAAUCGCUAGUAAUCGUAGAUCAGAAUGCUACGGUGAAUACGUUCCCGGGCCUUGUACACACCGCCCGUCACACCAUGGGAGUGGACUGCACCAGAAGUGGUUAGCCUAACUUCGGAGGGCGAUCACCACGGU
rnacentral:rRNA from 1 species